GGGCAGUAUCGCUUGCGAACUGCACCUGAAAUCUAUGGCAAUUUUGCAGUAAAUACAAUUUGAUAGCCGACAUCUGCCUUGAUCUACUUAUAUGACAGGGACGGAGG
rnacentral:ncRNA from 1 species